rnacentral:rRNA from 1 species
UAGGGAAUCUUCGGCAAUGGACGGAAGUCUGACCGAGCAACGCCGCGUGAGUGAAGAAGGUUUUCGGAUCGUAAAGCUCUGUUGUAAGAGAAGAACGAGUGUGAGAGUGGAAAGUUCACACUGUGACGGUAACUUACCAGAAAGGGACGGCUAACUACGUGCCAGCAGCCGCGGUAAUACGUAGGUCCCGAGCGUUAUCCGGAUUUAUUGGGCGUAAAGCGAGCGCAGGCGGUUAGAUAAGUCUGAAGUUAAAGGCUGUGGCUUAACCAUAGUACGCUUUGGAAACUGUUUAACUUGAGUGCAGAAGGGGAGAGUGGAAUUCCAUGUGUAGCGGUGAAAUGCGUAGAUAUAUGGAGGAACACCGGUGGCGAAAGCGGCUCUCUGGUCUGUAACUGACACUGAGGCUCGAAAGCGUGGGGAGCAAACAGGAUUAGAUACCCUGGUAGUCCACGCCGUAAACGAUGAGUGCUAGGUGUUGGGUCCUUUCCGGGACUCAGUGCCGCAGCUAACGCAUUAAGCACUCCGCCUGGGGAGUACGACCGCAAGGUUG